UUUUGCAAACCCAGGUCAGAGUGGAAAAUUCCCCUAGGGCUCAGGCUGUGAGAAACAUCCUGCCGGGCAAGUCCUAAGCCCAACCGCCUGAUCUCAGGAAAUUCCUCACUUAGCAACAGCUAACCACCCUGCCCACCCCACUUCACAACAAGCCCAGAUCUCUCCCACCCGGACCUAAACUUACCCAGUCUGUAAGCGGGGGCGGGCUCUGGCCUUAGUUGGUGUCCCCCUCCGCGGGUGUUUGUUCGGUAAACCUGUGUUGCUGUAGAGCCGCCUCCGUCCGUUUUUCCUCCCGUUCCUGCGCUAACAAUGACAUUAUACCAAAUGUAACUGAUAUACUAAUACAUGCUGCUGUAAUAAGGAGUCCUCAUUUAAGUUACUGUGUCCAAAAUGAGUUUCCAGUGGUCCUCCAUCUUGAUACAUGCUCCAGUAUCACUUAUACAGAAAGGGUGGACAUGCAUGCAUCUACAUCUUAAUUACAAUUAAGAAAUAUCUUCCUGGCCGCAUGCAGUGGCUCAUGCCUGUAAUCCCAGCACUUUGGGAGACCGAGGUGGGUGGGUCACGAGGUCAAGAGUUCAAGACCAGCCUGGCCAAGAUGGUGAAACCCUGUCUCUACUAAAAAAAAAAAAAGAAAGAAAUAUCUUUUAGCUGUUUACCUACUUCCUGGAAAAAUAGUAGCUCUCUGUAGCAUUACGGAGUUUCAGUGGAACCAAAUUUUUACCAUUAAAAACU
rnacentral:lncRNA from 10 species